AACGAACGCUGGCGGCAGGCCUAACACAUGCAAGUCGAGCGCGCCCUUCGGGGUGAGCGGCGGACGGGUGAGUAACGCGUGGGAACGUGCCCUUCUCUGCGGAAUAGCCUCAGGAAACUGAGAGUAAUACCGCAUACGCCCUUUGGGGGAAAGAUUUAUCGGAGAAGGAUCGGCCCGCGUUGGAUUAGGUAGUUGGUGGGGUAAUGGCCCACCAAGCCGACGAUCCAUAGCUGGUUUGAGAGGAUGAUCAGCCACACUGGGACUGAGACACGGCCCAGACUCCUACGGGAGGCAGCAGUGGGGAAUCUUAGACAAUGGGGGCAACCCUGAUCUAGCCAUGCCGCGUGAGUGAUGAAGGCCUUAGGGUUGUAAAGCUCUUUCAGCUGGGAAGAUAAUGACGGUACCAGCAGAAGAAGCCCCGGCUAACUCCGUG
rnacentral:rRNA from 1 species